CAUGCAGGCGGUUACAUAAGUCAGAUGUGAAAUCCCCGCGCUUAACGUGGGCAUUGCAUUUGAAACUAUGUAGCUAGAGUUCUGUAGAGGGGGGUAGAAUUCCAGGUGUAGCGGUGAAAUGCGUAGAGAUCUGGAGGAAUACCGAUUGCGAAGGCAGCCCCCUGGACAGUGACUGACGCUGAGGUGCGAAGGUGCGGGGAGCAAACAGGAUUAGAUACCCCCGUA
rnacentral:rRNA from 1 species